CUCAGUAACGCGUAGUCAACCUAACCUAUGGACGGAAAUAACCUCGGGAAACUGAGAAUAAUGUCCGAUAGAACACUAUGCCUGGAAUGGUUUGUGUUCCAAAUGAUUUAUCGCCGUAGGAUGGGACUGCGGCCUAUCAGUUUGUUGGUGAGGUAAUGGCCCACCAAGACUAUUACAGGUACGGGCUCUGAGAGGAGUAGCCCGGAGAUGGGUACUGAGACACGGACCCAGGCCCUAUGGGGCGCAGCAGGCGAGAAAACUUUGCAAUGUGCGAAAGCACGACAAGGUUAAUCCGAGUGAUUUGUGCUAAACGAAUCUUUUGUUAGUCUUAGAACCACUAACGAAUAAGGGGUGGGCAAGUUCUGGUGUCAGCCGCCGCGGUAAAACCAGCACCUCAAGUGGUCAGGAUGAUUAUUGGGCCUAAAGCAUCCGUAGCCGGCUCUGUAAGUUUUCGGUUAAAUCUGUACGCUCAACGUACAGGCUGCCGGGAAUACUGCAGAGCUAGGGAGUGGGAGAGGUAGACGGUACUCGGAAGGAAGGGGUAAAAUCCUUUGAUCUUUUGAUGACCACCUGUGGCGAAGGCGGUCUACCAGAACACGUCCGACGGUGAGGGAUGAAAGCUGGGGGAGCAAACCGGAUUAGAUACCCGGGUAGUCCCAGCUGUAAACUAUGCAAACUCAGUGAUGCAUUGACUUGUGGUCAAUGCAGUGCUGCAGGGAAGCCGUUAAGUUUGCCGCCUGGGAAGUACGUACGCAAGUAUGAAACUUAAAGGAAUU
rnacentral:rRNA from 1 species